rnacentral:snRNA from 1 species
UCAUUGUAGCAGCGCUCAGACUAAAAUUGGAAUGAUACAAAGAUCAGCGUGGUCCCUGCACAAGAACACCAGCAAUGUGAAACAUUCCAUAUUUAA